rnacentral:misc_RNA from 1 species
AUCAACGGAGGGGUCGGCAGAGCAAAACACCAAAAAAAGGAAAAUACAGUAAAGAAACAGGUCUGUGUCCUUUUCCUGCGCUGUAGAGGAAGGAGAGCGGCCCCCCCCAGCGCACACCACUCAAAAACACACGUGCGCACGCACACACCCACGCAGGUGCAGAGGCUGCCACAGCGGGAGUGGUGACUGAGGACGUUCAAGAGGAGGGCGACAAAGUCUUGUGCUUCUCUCAUAAUCUGUCCCUCUUCCCCAUCGCUCUCGCUGUUCCACCCCUUGGCUGCCCUCGUUGAGCCUUGCAGCGUGUGCUGCCCUUUUUUCUUUGUUGCUUGUUUGUAGCUUUCCUUGCUAAUUGUUUUUGUGUCGCGCCGUUCUUUCGCGCCCAUGUCGCGCGUCUCCGUGCUUGCAGGGCAGAAGCCCAAGCCAAAGGAGUCUUUCAAGUUCCUGCGGCGCGAUGAGGGGCGUCUGUCGUACUCGGCCGCCACGGCAGAAUCGCCGUCAAAGAACGCCGCUAAUGGCGCCGACGGCGCCAACAUUAAUCGUGAGCGCCGUGACUCCAAGGCGCUGCGCGAGGCUAUCGCCUACGACAUGCGCAAUGCCAAGAGCCACGACCCGCUCGGGGAGGUGGUAGUGGCUGUUCCCCGCAAGGCACCUCCGCCCACGCGUGCGGUGAGUGCACCUCCACCCAACACCAACGCAUCUAGUGGGACAGAGAAGCCGGCAGCCGGGGCGACGCCGCAGCGACGCCAACCUGCUCGUGCGGCGAACCCCAAGAAGCCGGAGUGGGUCAACCCUGACAUCCCACCAUCGCCACUGCUGCAGGCUCCGACACGCUCGGAGGUGGAGCAUCCGGCGGACAACUACUUCGAGACAUCUUAUAGCGAUCCCUACAGCGGCGGUGCUGCGGCACCGUCGAGUGGCAUCGGCCGGUCCGUCAGCCGUGGCUCGGACACCAAUGGGGCCGACUUGGGACGGUAUGGUGGACUCACCCCGCGGAGCGCCGCCAUGGGGGCGCCGCGUUACGCUUCUCUCAAGUACGAGGAGUCGAGUGCCGCGCCAUCGUCUGGGCAGGAUCGCAACUACUUCCGUCGACCGCCCUACACCCGCGACCCCGCCCUAGGUUCUGACGCUCACUCACCAGCGGGCAGUCGCAGCCGCGAGGAGGACGAGCUCAUCGCGAGCUUGGAGCAGGAAAUCAAGGCUGCGCAGAAGGAGCGCAGUCACUACGCGGACGCACGACAGCAGCUCGAUCGUGAAAAGCAGCGCUUUGAUUCGUACCGAUAUGGUGCGCGGCAGCAGAUGGAGGAUGAGCGCGCUGACGCUGGUGACCGCCGCUCACGCGAGCAGCGCGAUGCUCAGAAGGAUCUGCGCGCCACAGAGGAGCGCUUCAAGAACGUGUCGGCGCUGCUUGUAGCGGAGCGUGAGACCAACCGGCGCUUGUCGCAGGAGAACGACUCGCUGCGCACUCAGCUCGAGGACCUCACAUCCACGAUGCGCGAGGCGCACAGCAUACACAAGGCGGAGGUGGCCCGCAUGCGCCGCGACAUCGACUCCCUGACGCGCCGCAACGCCGAACUACUCGCAAUGGCGAAGGAGCAGCAGCUGCAGUGCCUCGAAGGCGCGUCCGCCUCACCGGCGACGCGACAGAGCAGCAGCUCUCCCUUGUCCGUCUCUCUGGAUCCCUCCGCUCAGCGCGCCUCCUCGGCCUCGUAUGAGGACGGCGAUGAUGAAGACAACGAUGCAGCCGCGGUGAGGGAGCGGCGGGCUUCACGAGCGGCCCCUCUUGCCGUCAUGGACUUCACCCCCCGUGCAGCGCCCAGCGAGGCGGCGGCGCGCGAGAAGCGCAAUCGGCAGAUGCAGAACCGCAUGCAGGCUGAGGAGCAGGCGAUGGAGGAGCGGAGGCGGCACCGUGAGAGGUAUAUCGCAGACCGCAAGAGGGAAGAGCAGGAGAAAAAGGCGCGGCACCGGGUUGCGGUGGCCGCCGCCGCUGCCGCGACGGCGCGCCGCCGACGUGAGGAGGAGGAUCUGCGAAAGGCUGCAUCAGCUGCAGAGAAGCCAGUGGAUGAACGGAAGAUGUCGGGGCAUCCGGUUCGCACGCCCCGCAUGCAGUCCGGCGCGUUAUCCGUCAAACGACGCCCCUCCGCCAGCGCGGUGCACCCGCGGGUGCCGCUGAAGCGCCACCACGUCCCCACUCGGGAGGAGCUGAUUGGUGACAUGGAGGAGUUCCCGACGGAGAAGCUCUGUGAAGACGACGUCGUGUCGCAGACGGCUCUGGGCGACAACUCGAACAAAAAGGAGGUACUAUACCGCAGUGGCAAGCGGGAAAUCCACUACGCGAACGGCACGGUGAAGGUCGUGCUGCCAUCUGGACACACGACGCUGCACUUCACGAAUGGCGACGUCAAGUGCACUUUUCCCUCCGGAAAGAGCACUUACUGGUACGACGCGGCGCAGACAAUGCACACGCAGAUGCCGGACGGUGUGCAGGCCUUCGAGUUCCGUUCCACUGGGCAGACAGAGAAGCACUUGCCAGACGGCAGCAAGGAGAUUCUGUACCCAGACGGCAUCUACAAGAUUGUUCGGCCAGAUGGCAGCGACGAAACCUUCUACCCCGAUGGGGAGCCAAUGGAGGAGUAGCCACGCAGCGGUGCGCUGCAUCAUGAGACAACGUCUUUGUUGUCUUUAUUACCUUUUCGCGUCGGCAUCUCUGCUCUCGCCUUGCCCGUUCUCUGACUGUAUGCGCUGUUGCUCCUUUUUUCCACUGCUCUCAAAGGUGCCAAGACGGAGGUGUACGGCGAGGCGGUGCCGAGAUGCGGCGCAGGGAGUAGGGAACAAUACGGGGGCUGGCCAGGCAGAUAAGCGAUGGUGACAUGUACCUGUAUUCUCUCUUGUCGUAGACGCUUUUCUUGUUUGUUGCUUUUUGUCUUGUGUGAGAAGAUGCGCAAGUGAGAGGGCGCAGAAUUCAGAGGAGCAGAGAGGGCGUUGACGUCGGCUUUCGGUGUUCUCCCGCGAGUAUGUGCGUGCUGCCGCUGCCGUGCUUGCAUAUCACCUUGCUUCCGCUAUCGCUGCUUUCUUUCCGCGCUGCCUUCCUUUUCUUUAUCCGUGUCCGUUGUCCUGUGCAGUUGUAUGCGCUGCAUCUGAUCAUCUGUCCCUCUCUCUUUAGAGUUGCCCCCCCCCCUCCCCUCCCCUCCCUUCUCCUCCUCCUCUGCAUUUUUGUUGGUGCUGUGCUGCGCAUCUUUGCUGGCAUUCCCCCCCCCCCCCCGCUCUGUUUGAGGUCGCUUCCGUGAGUGUGUGCGCUGCGUCCUUGUACUGCCCUCGGUUAUCUUGUUACCUUUGAUCAUUUGGCUCGGUGCUUCUUUGUUUUUAUAAACGUGUUUUCUGUUGCUGUUGUUGUUGUUACUUUCCCGUCGUCUUGUUUGUACGUCUCCGUGUACUUCGCUCCCUGGCCGGCACGGUUGCGGCGGCUGGCUGCUGGCAGCGAUAGCGCGCACUUGGGUGUGCUGUGCAGCCGAGUGCGCGAGUGGUAGUUGGCGGGUCAAGGGAACUCAGAGUGUGAGGUGGGCGGGGCAGGCCCGGGGAUGUCACGUUGUCUUGCUGUUGUUAUCGUGGUGCCUCUUACCAACACGGUCAUUCGACUCCGUGCUCCCCUCUUGGCGCUUUUUCCACCUUUUCUUUCCCCGCUUUCUCUCCCGCCGUGCUCUCGCUCUCUCGUCUCGGCCACUGCUGUUUUCCAGACGGCACACACAAACACAUGCGAAAACUGCGAAAGAAGAAAAGAAGAAAGACACGCGAAGAGAAGACAUGGCGCGAGACGGCCUUCGCUACUCUCCUUUUUUCCGCGUGUGUGUGUACAUGGACCCCUGGUCGACGACAGGGUUGAGACGAGGCAGGGAGAGAGAGGGAGGGGGAGGGGCAGGAGGCUGUUGUCACUGCCACUCGCGUCAUGGAAGAGCGUGGCGGCAGGGCCACGAUGUAAGCAUUGGAGAUACCACCGAGCAAAAUAUCUUUUUUCUUCGCUUUUAAGGUGUGUACGUUCUCUUCCAUACAAAUUGAGUCCGACGCCACACUGCACCCCCACCCCACACAUCCGCGCCGUGCGCAGAGGCAGCAGCAGACACACGCCGGCACAGCAGUGCGCCGACUCAGUCAGCUGAGCACGGCCGCCGCCUCACACUCUACGCAGACCCUCUCUGCCGGUCGCCACCUGCUGCGUCCCUCGGGGGUGUCCCAGGGCCCCCACCCACCCACCCCACGCACACACACCAGUAGGCAGUGAGCGUCGGGCGGGAUGCGCUCGAGUCACGCGGAAGCUUCGCCCAUCACAUGGAUGACACAAGCGUGUGCGCUGUCGCAGGUCGCUCUGGCCUCUCUGCGUCGUGGGCACGGGAACCCCCGUCACCACCCGAAGUGGUUCGGCAGGGGCAGGGGGAUAGAGGGGGGGAGAGACGGCUGCUUUGGCUUCCCACCCACACACACACACACGCAGAGUAGGGUCCCCGGGCCCUGUGAUACCACGGUGAGGUGUCCCUUGUCAUGAGGACAAACAAAGUAUCAGAGACAGUCAAAACAAUCAGAAGCGGUUAUAAAGGUUUCCAUUUUCGCGGUCGCGGCGCAUGAGCGGCGGCGCGGGUCUUCGCACACGGCGCUGCCUCAGCGGACAGUCCGUUUGGGUGUUUGCGCCGCUUUUUUGGAGCGAAUGAGG